AGUGAGGAAUAUUGGUCAAUGGACGAAAGUCUGAACCAGCCAUGCCGCGUGCAGGAUGACUGCCCUACGGGUUGUAAACUGCUUUUAUAUAGGAAGAAACCCCUCUACGUGUAGAGGGCUGACGGUACUAUAAGAAUAAGGACCGGCUAACUCCGUGCCAGCAGCCGCGGUAAUACGGAGGGUCCAAGCGUUAUCCGGAUUCAUUGGGUUUAAAGGGUACGUAGGCGGAGCUUUAAGUCAGUAGUGAAAGCCCAUUGCUUAACAAUGGAACUGCUAUUGAUACUGGAGUUCUUGAAUAUAGUUGAAGUUGGCGGAAUACGGCAUGUAGCGGUGAAAUGCAUAGAUAUGCCGUGGAACACCGAUCGCGAAGGCAGCUAACUAAGCUAUUAUUGACGCUGAGGUACGAAAGCGUGGGGAGCGAACAGGAUUAGAUACCCUGGUAGUCCACGCCGUAAACGAUGAUUACUCGGUGCUGGCGAUAUACUGUCAGUGCCUAAGCGAAAGUGAUAAGUAAUCCACCUGGGGAGUACGAUCGCAAGGUUG
rnacentral:rRNA from 1 species